rnacentral:rRNA from 1 species
GACGAACGCUGGCGGCGUGCUUAACACAUGCAAGUCGAACGGAAAGGCCUCUUUCGGGGGGUACUCGAGUGGCGAACGGGUGAGUAACACGUGGGUAACCUGCCCUUGACUUUGGGAUAACUUCAGGAAACUGGGGCUAAUACCGGAUAGGAGCUCCUGCUGCAUGGUGGGGGUUGGAAAGUUUCGGCGGUUGGGGAUUGACUCGCGGCUUAUCAGCUUGUUGGUGGGGUAGUGGCUUACCAAGGCUUUGACGGGUAGCCGGACUGAGAAGGUGACCGGCGAUAUUGGGUCUGAGAUACGGCCCAGACUCCUACUGGAGGCAGCAGGGGGGAAUAUUGCACAAUGGGUGGAGGCCUGAUGCAGCAGCUCCGUGUGCGGGAUGACUGCCUUCGGGUUGUAAACCGCAUUCGCUCAUGACGAAGCUUUGUGUGACGGUAGUUGGUAAAGAAGCACCGGCUAACUACGUG